AUUGAACGCUAGCGGCAUGCUUAACACAUGCAAGUCGAACGAGUGGCGGACGGGUGAGUAAUGUCUGGGAACCUGCCCGAUGGCGGGGGAUAACUACUGGAAACGGUAGCUAAUACCGCAUACCAUCGGAUGUGCCCAGAUGGGAUUAGCUAGUAGGUGGGGUAAAGGCUCACCUAGGCGACGAUCCCUAGCUGGUCUGAGAGGAUGACCAGCCACACUGGGACUGAGACACGGUCCAGACUCCUACGGGAGGCAGCAGUGGGGAAUUUUGGACAAUGGGGGAAAGCCUGAUGCAGCCAUGCCGCGUGUAUGAAGAAGGCCUUCGGGUUGUAAAGUACUUUUAGCGGGGAGGCGUUAUCCGCAGAAGAAGCACCGGCUAACUACGUGCCAGCAGCCGCGGUAAUUC
rnacentral:rRNA from 1 species